rnacentral:tRNA from 1 species
GGGUGUGUAGCUCAGUGGUAGAGUAUGUGUUUAGCAGGCACAAGGUCCUGGGUUCAAUCCCCAGUACCGCCA